rnacentral:rRNA from 1 species
UUAAGCAUAUUACUAAGCGGAGGAAAAGAAACUAACAAGGAUUCCCUUAGUAGCUGCGAGCGAACAGGGAUAAGCUCAGCAUAAAAUCUUGUAACUUGACAGUUAUCAAGAGAUGUUAUGUUUAGGAAGUUUCGUUUAUCCUAUAAUGUACAUUUCGUCCAAGUCCACCUUGAAUGGGGCAUAUCCCGUAGAGGGUGCCAGUCCCGUAGUGACAAGUGUAUAAAAAUCAUUAUAGGUGAGACUUUCCUUAGAGUCGGGUUGCUUGUAAAUGCAGCUCUAAGUGGGUGGUAAACUCUAUCUAAAGCUAAAUAUAACCACGAGACCGAUAGCGAACAAGUAC